CCCCAUUUUCUCCUGCCCUUGGAUAUCACUGCUCCUUCAGAUUUAGAUGGACUCCUAAAUCAUAUGCUCCACUGAUUCUUAGGCCUUUAUACUUAGAAUAAAUUAUACCACCAGCUUCCCUUGCUUUCAGCUUGCAAAUGGCAGAUCAUGAGACUUCUUAGGCUCCAUAAUCAUGUAAGCACAUAGCCUGCUGGUUCUAUUUCUCUGAAGGACUCUAAUACAGAUUUGAUACCAGGAGUGAUUCUAGAGGAACAGAAUUUUAAGAAUGAGUUUUCUGAAUUGGUUCUGGGGUUUCUGAAACUGGCUCUCUAAUCUUAUAUAAAGACUAAUAGUCCAUGGCGAGCUAUGUAUAGAGAUACAUAAAAUAUCUGCACUAGGUACUUCUGAUCAACUACUAUAUGAAGCAAAGAGAUAAGUGAUGCUGUAUAUGAUACUUCUGAACAUUUUUUGGAAACUAAGGGAUAAUGCCAUUGGUUGGUUGCCUCUAACAUUGUUGGACAAGUAGUGAAAGAAAAGGAUGAACUAAGGGAUCCCAUUUCUCAGCUCAAGCAUCCCAUAAAUGACCUAAGAGCUCCUAUGUGUGCCCUGAAGGAGAAUCUUAUCUCCUCCAGCCACAGGGCUGAAACUGGUGAAAAUCAAACACAGAACCUCAUUUUGUUAUUAGCUGUAUUACAAUGUAAGCUGAACUCCCAGCUUCACAAGGUGUUUACUGUUAUAGCAAAGGCAUUGAUUGGGAAGAAUGAGAUCCUGUAAGUGGGACUAGGGACAUAUGGGAAGACUCUGAUGAAGCUGGAAACAUUGAACCCCUGUACUCUGAUGAGUCUUCUUUGCAGGGGAAGAGCUUUUUCUACCUCUACUGUAGGUGGUAGCAGCUUCUUCAUCUACAUUUGAGGGGCUAACCUGGUAUUACCUGAGGAAACAGUAAUGAUUUCUUCUGAUAUAACCAGCAUGCAAGACAGUGCUGAUUCUCUUCAGGAUCCAUCCCCAUCAUCCCACUUUGCUUCUAGACCUAUAACUGGAGUCAAAUCCCAGAAGACCCCUAAUGGUGAGAUACAAAACAUGACCCAUGAGGAGGUACAAUAUGCUCCAAAAGAACUAUUUAAGUUUUCUAAUUUAUACCAACAGACUCCAGGGAACAUCGAUGGAUAUUGAGGAUGUGGGAUAACAUGAAAGAAGCACAAAGUUGGGUCAGGCCAAAUUUAUUGAUAUGGGAUCACUAACCAGAGAUUUUGCAUUUAAUGCUGCAGGGGAGUUAGAAAGGGCUCUAACAGUUUGUUGAUUAAUUGGCUGAAACAUGGACCAAAAGAAGGCCAAUUGUAAAUGGCUGACCUGCUUUGUUUUAAUAUAGAGGAAGGAGUUCAGAGGUGUAGGGAGACUGUAAUGUUACAGUGUACUCAUUUAAGACCUACUCACCCACACUGAGGGUCCACAGGACUAAUGCUUUGAGGAAUAAAUUUGUGAAGGGAGUCCAGCAUCCUUGAAGAGCCCCUUGAAGAGGGCUCUUCAGGGGCUCUUCUCUGUAGGCUAGGCUUUAGAGUGGGAACCACAGACACUCAAUUGGAAAACCUUAAAGAUUGGGAACAUAUGGAUCCCAGGGCAACGGGCAACAGGAGUCAAGUGGCAGCACUCAACCACCAAAGACGAGGUAGGCAUGGUUACCAUAAUAAACAAAAGAGUCAAAGCAGCAAUCACAAUAAUCCGACUCAUGCACAGCUAUGGUGCUGUCUAGUUAAUCAUGAUAUUCCUAGAAGUGAAACAGAAAUUCUUAUUUGAUCUAUAUAAGCAAAAAGUUCUAAGUCAAGUCAACAGAGUCUAACUCAAGUCAUAAAAGCAGUGAAUGACAGUCCUUCAAUCAAUUCCCAAGUUGAAUCAGUUUAGAAGCCAAGAACCUCUUGAAUGAAUGGGAGGCCAGGUACCCUUUAGGAAGGCCUUGAUACAGCAAUGAAAAUUUAUAUGGCUAAUCUUUCUCCUAGCCUCCCAGAGGGACCUAUGGCCUUUUAACAGGGCUGUACAUUGGGGAAAAGGAGAUAAUCAUACCUUUCAGAGACUACUAAACAUUAGCUCUGAACUGACACUGAUUCCAAAAGACCCAUAAUGUCACUGUGCCCCUCCAGUCACAGUAGGAGAGCUUGUGGAAGUCCAGUGAUUAAUGGGUUAUUGGUCCAGGUCUGUUUCACAGUAGGUUCAGUGGCUCCCUGAACCCAUCCUAUGGUUAUUUGCCCAGGUGUAGACUGUAUAAUUGGAAUAGACAUACUUAGCAGCUGGCAAAAUCUUCACAUUGGUUCCCUGACCUGUAGAAUAUGGGCUAUUACAGUGGAAAAGGCCAACUGGAAGCCAUUUAAGUACCACAUCCCAAGAAAGAUUGCAGAUUAGUGCCACCAUUUGAAAGAUACAGGGGUAGUGAUUCCCAUCACAUUCCUAUUCAACUCUCCUAUUUGGGCUGUGCAGAAAACAGAUGAAUCUUAGAGAAUGCCAAUGGAUUAUUUUAUUGUAAGCUUAACCAGGUGGUGACUCCAGUUGCAGCUGCUGUACCUGAUGUUGUUUCACUGUUUGAGCAAAUUAACACAUCCCCUGGUCCUAGGUAUGCAGUUUUUGAUCUGGCAAAUGCAUUUUUCUUCCAUACCUGUCCAUAAGGCCCACCAGAAGCAGUGUGAUUUCUGCUGGUAUGGCCAGAAAUACAUAUACAAAUACCUCUUUAGGGUUAUAGCAACCCUCCAUCCCUAGGUCAUGAUUUAGUUUGCAGGGAUCUUGAUUGUCUUUCCCUCCCACAAGAUAUCAUACUGGUCCAUUACAUUAAUGACAUUAUGCUGAUUAGACCUAGUGAGUGAGAAGUAGCAACUACUCUAGGCUUAUUAGUAAGACACUUGCAUAUCAGGGUGGGAAAUAAAUCUAAAAUUCACUUCUACCCCAAAAUAUUUAGGGGUCCUGUUACGUAGGGUGUGUUGAGAUAUCCCUUCUAAGGUGAAGAAUAAGUUGUAGCUGGCUCUCCUACAGCCAAGAAAGAAGCACAAUACCUCUUUGGAUUUUGGAGGCAACAUAUUCCUCAUUUGAGUGUUACUCUAGUCCAUUUACCAAGUGACCUGAGAAGCUGCUAGUUUUAAGUGGGGCCCAGAGAAAGAAAAGGCUCUGCCAUAGGUCCAGGCCACUAUGCAAGCUGCUCUUCCACUUGGGCCUUAUGAUCCAGCAGACUCAAUGGUGCUUGAAGUGUCAGUUUCAGAUAAGAUGCUGUUUGGAGCUUUGGGAAGGUUUCUAGAGAUGAACUGCAAUGCAGGCUCUUAAGAUUUAGGGGCAAGACUCUGCCAACACCUUCAUAAAACUACUUUCCUUUUGAGAAACAACUUUUGGUCUAUUACUGGGCCUCAGUAGAAGCUGAAUGCUUGCUCAUGGGCUACCAAGUUACCAUGUGACCUGAGAUAACACCAUGAACUGGGUAUUCACCAACCCAAAAGUGGGCUUGCACACCAACAUUCCACCAAAUAGAAGGUAUAUAUUCAAAAUCAGGCCUGAGCAGGCCCUGAAGUCACUUACAUGAAGAAGUGGCCCAAAUGUCCAAAGUCCCCAUUCUUGCUCCACUGUCUUCUCUCUGCCAGCCUACACAUAUAGCUUCAUGGGGAAUUCCUUGUGAUCAGCUGACAGGGGAAGAGAAGACUCAGGCCUGCUUUACAGAUGGUUCUGUAUGAUAUAUACAAGCACACCUGGAUGUGGUCAGCUGCAGCACUGCAGCCCCUCUCGAGGACAUCCCUGAAGGAAGUGGUGAAGGGAAAUCCUACCAGUGGGUAGAACUUGGGGCAGUGCAUUUCUCCUUGGAAGGAGAAAUGGCCAGAUGUGGAAUUACGUAACAGUUCAUGGGCUGUGACUGCAUAAUCAGGAACAUAGAAGGGACUUGAUUUGAAAAUUAGUAACAAAGAAAUUUGGAAAGGGGGUAUAUAGAUAGACCUCUCUGAAUGGCCAAAAAACAUGAACAGGGAUGCGUGGGUGGCUCAGUGGUUGAGCGUCUGCCUUUGGCUCAGGUGUGAUCCCAGGGUCCUGGGAUCAAGUCCUGCAUCCGGCUCCCCGCAGAGAGCUCUUCUCCCUCUGCCUCUCUCUCUAUCUCUCUCUGUGUCUCUUAUGAAUAAAUAAAUAAGAUCUCAAAAAAAAAAAAAACCAAACAAACCACAAACAUAUUUGUGUCCCAUGUAGUCACCAAAGGGUUACCCCAGAAGAGGAUUUUAAUACACAGAUAGACUAUGUACAAUGGAGUGUUACUCGGCCAACAGAAGGAAUGAAAUCUUGCCAUUUGCAAUGAUGUGGAUGGAACUAGAAGGUAUUAUGCUAAGCAAAAUCAGUCAUAGAAAAUAAAAUAUCAUAUGGUUUCACUCAUAUGUGGAAUUUAAGAAACAAAACAGAUGAACAUAGGGGAAGACAA
rnacentral:lncRNA from 1 species